UACCAGCACCCCGAGUGGUCGGGACGAUUAUUGGGCCUAAAGCAUCCGUAGCCGGUCAUGCAAGUCCUCCGUUAAAUCCAGCCGCUCACGGUUGGGCUGCGGAGGAUACUACGUGGCUAGGAGGCGGGAGAGGCAAGCGUACUCAGUGGGUAGGGGUAAAAUCCUUUGAUCCAUUGAAGACCACCAGUGGCGAAGGCGGCUUGCCAGA
rnacentral:rRNA from 1 species